rnacentral:lncRNA from 1 species
GAGAUGGCUCAGGGGUUAAGAGAGCUGGCUGCUCUUCCAGAGGUUCUAAGUUCAAUUCCCAGAAACCACAUAGUGACUCACAAUCAUCUAUAAUGGGUUCUGAUGCUCUCUUUCUGGCCUGCAGGCACACUCACACCUAAACAACACAUUGAAACUCUGUCUUGAAAAACAAAACAAAAACAAAAACAAAAAAUUAAAUUACAUUGAGGAAGUCUGUGAUCCAAAAAAAGUUAAUGUCAUGGUGAUGAAUGAAGUGAGGAACAAAAAGAAAAAACCAAACUCUUAUAUUUGCAGAAAAAAAGCCUGUACUGGUGUUAACCCCAUUGGAGUUUAUUAUGCACAGAAACAGUCUGAAUGCCAUCAGAAAGAGAUUAGGAGCAAGCUCUCAGAGCAGGUGAAGGGCAAACUUGCUCCUGUGGGGAUGACCACAGACCCCAGGCCUACAGCACCCCUGACCCUGGACCACGUGAUCCAGACCCAUCCUGUGGUGGAGGCUAAGACAGCACAUCGACGAUACUGGGUGAACUACGUGGAUGAAGAAUAAGGUUUUAUACAGUUACUAGGUGAAAAAAAAAUCCAAACAGGAAAUGACAACUUUCUUU